rnacentral:rRNA from 1 species
UACGGAGGGGGCUAGCGUUGUUCGGAAUUACUGGGCGUAAAGCGCACGUAGGCGGCUUUGUAAGUUAGAGGUGAAAGCCCGGGGCUCAACUCCGGAAUUGCCUUUAAGACUGCAUCGCUAGAAUUGUGGAGAGGUAAGUGGAAUUCCGAGUGUAGAGGUGAAAUUCGUAGAUAUUCGGAAGAACACCAGUGGCGAAGGCGACUUACUGGACACAUAUUGACGCUGAGGUGCGAAAAGCGUGGGGGAG